rnacentral:rRNA from 1 species
AGAGUUUGAUCCUGGCUCAGGAUGAACGCUAGCGGCAGGCCUAAUACAUGCAAGUCGAGGGGCAGCAUAGUAGCAAUACUGAUGGCGACCGGCGCACGGGUGCGUAACACGUAUGCAACCUACCUUUUACAGGGGGAUAGCCCGGAGAAAUCCGGAUUAACACCGCAUAAGAUAUUUGGAUGGCAUCAUUUAGAUAUUAAACAUUUAUGGGUAAAAGAUGGGCAUGCGUCCAAUUAGCUAGUUGGUAGUGUAAUGGACUACCAAGGCGAUGAUUGGUAGGGGUUCUGAGAGGAAGGUCCCCCACACUGGUACUGAGAUACGGACCACACUCCUACGGGAGGCAGCAGUAGGGAAUAUUGGGCAAUGGGCGAGAGCCUGACCCAGCCAUGCCGCGUGCAGGAAGAAGGCCUUCUGGGUUGUAAACUGCUUUUGAUCGGGAACAAAUAGGCCAUGCGUGGCAAGUUGAGUGUACCGAUAGAAUAAGCACCGGCUAACUCCGUGCCAGCAGCCGCGGUAAUACGGGAGGGGGCUAGCGUUGUUCGGAAUUACUGGGCAUAAAGCGUACGUAGGCUGCUUUGUAAGUUAGAGGUGAAAGC